rnacentral:lncRNA from 1 species
GAAGUUAAUGAUUACGUUGAAGAUUUGAAUAUGAAUCGUUGCACUUUGCACUCGUCUCAGGGUUCUUCAUUCGUGGCAUCAAAUGUAAAGUAAAAAUGCAUCUCAGUCCUUAUAUUAGUUCAUUUAGAAAGUUAGUUUAUUUUUUUGGAAAAGAUUCAAAGAUAACUCUUUAACUCAUGAUGAACUUAUAUCAAAUAAACUAACGGUUUUAA